ACGCUGGCGGCGUGCCUAACACAUGCAAGUCGAGCGAGAAGUAAAGAAAUGAAGCUUCGGUAGAUUUUCAUUAUGGAAAGCGGCGGACGGGUGAGUAACGCGUAGGCAACCUGCCCUGUACAGGGGGAUAGCCACCCGAAAAGGUGAUUAAUACCCCAUGAUGCAAGAGAUACACAUGUAUCACUUGUCAAAGAUUUAUCGGUAUGGGAUGGGCCUGCGUCUGAUUAGCUAGUUGGUAGGGUAACGGCUUACCAAGGCAACGAUCAGUAGCCGACCUGAGAGGGUGAUCGGCCACAUUGGAACUGAGACACGGUCCAAACUCCUACGGGAAGCAGCAGUGGGGAAUAUUGCACAAUGGGGGAAACCCUGAUGCAGCAACGCCGCGUGAAGGAAGAAGGCCUUCGGGUUGUAAACUUCUGUCCUAGGGGAAGAAACAAAUGACAUUACCCUUGGAGGAAGCCCCGGCUAACUACGUGCCAGCAGCCGCGGUAAUACGUAGGGGGCGAGCGUUAUCCGGAAUUAUUGGGCGUAAAGAGUGCGUAGGUGGCAUCUUAAGCGCGGGGUUUAAGGCAAUGGCUCAACCAUUGUUCGCCUUGCGAACUGGGGUGCUUGAGUGCAGGAGGGGAAAGUGGAAUUCCUAGUGUAGCGGUGAAAUGCGUAGAUAUUAGGAGGAACACCAGUGGCGAAGGCGACUUUCUGGACUGUUACUGACACUGAGGCACGAAAGCGUGGGGAGCAAACAGGAUUAGAUACCCUGGUAGUCCACGCCGUAAACGAUGAGCACUAGGUGUCGGGGUCGCAAGACUUCGGUGCCGCAGUUAACGCAUUAAGUGCUC
rnacentral:rRNA from 1 species